CUGAAAGAUGGACUUUUAAUCCAUUU
rnacentral:misc_RNA from 1 species